GUUGUUUUCCUCUCAUGUAGCAUUUUUCCAGUGUGUGAAAAUCUCUGGCCUCAAAGCACACUUGUGGGAACCCAUAAUUGAGUCUGAGAUCAUCCAACAGCAGCAGAAAGCUCUUACAGCCCCGAGAGCCUCAGGGAGCCAGGAAGCUUACAGAACCUUGCUGAAAAACACGGGAUCUAUAGCUAAAUCCAGAAAGCCCCCGGAGACCAUUUGGACCAACCCCUCCCACAGGUUAAAGCCCUGACCCCUGCCAUUCACUAUGGGAGAAGACAGCAACAGCUUUUCUGCCCCACUGGUGUUCUCUAGGGCUUUCUGACCCAGGUCCUCAUCAGCGCAGUCCCUAGCGUUGAGCCCAGCAACCCUAGGAUCAAGGCCUUGAAAGACAAGGUUUUGGGAUCUCCCAAAGGUAAUUGGGAUGUUUGGCAUUGUUUGCAUAUUAGUCUAGAAAACCUCACAUACAUCACUUGCUCCAGCACAGAUUACACUUCUUAAAAAAGACCCGAAAAGAACAUCAGGAUAUUAAAACACAAAACGCAACACAACUGUAUGUGAAUUUCUGUGCUCAAGAGAACAUAGUGAAAAUUAAUGUUGUGAUCUUUCUGAGCACAUAUCUUUUGCCAACAAUGUUUCUUCAACCACUGUUAACUAAAUCCAAGGACCUAUUACAUCGCAAAUGGAAGAUUAAAGAGAGUUUUUUUCUAAGCAGAUUUGUUGUACUCUUGCAAGGCAAUCUCUUGCUCAAUAGAAUUGUUUAUCUAUGGAAAAAUAUUUUACUUUGAGCAAACCUCCCUCAAAGACCCUAACAUAACUACUCUCUGAUAGCCAUUUUAGAGACACAUUGAGCAAAAGAUUCACAGUAACAGGAAGUUCAUGAAAUUACUCCUUUAGCACAAUAAAUUGUUCAAAACAAUUCUAAUAUAUUGAAGAGUUAAACUUCCUCAGAUAUUACAAUUAUAAAGAUUACAGAAAAGUAUUUUAUAUAUAUAGUUAUCUAAGAUUCUUUCUGUGGGUGGAGGGAGAAGUGGU
rnacentral:lncRNA from 1 species